UUUAAUUAAAAAAAAAAAACAAGGAAAAAAAAGGAAACAAUUUGCAGCUUUCCCCAUCUCUAGAAGAAAAGUUCGGAAGUUAGUCAUCAGUGAAACAUCCGACAAAACAAUCACCUAUGACAGAGAGCAUUUUCUCUGUGGCCUCCCAGCUGGGUAGAUGCAGGUGAUAAAGACCGGUUACUGACUAGACAGCAGCUAUUUAUGUGGGAGUACCAAACACUUCUGAGUAUGGAGACAGUUAUUGAGAUUUACUUCCCCAUCGUUUCUCAUGGAAAUGACCACUUCAAAGGAAAGUUCAGAAGGUCGAAGCCAAAUCAUGAUGGAUGUCAAUUUUGCAUCAAUACAAGGAAAAGGAAAUAACACUCGGGAUCUGUGCACUCCUCAAUACAAUAUACAGUAACGUUUUACUGGAGUAAGCUCCGGAUUUAAACCAUACAAAAAACUGUAUACAGCUAAUUUCUGCAUCAUUAUAGCAAGCUGUUCCAAGCAAUCAACAAGAUGGGGAAAAUAAUACAACACUUUAUAAAAACAAAACUAGAGAUAUGCCAAUACAAGUUCUCUGAAGGAAAAGUAAAUCAUUUAAAAAUUUUCAUAAUGUAACAAAAUAAUAAAAGCAAGAAAAUGUACUGUUCCUUUAUCAGGCCUGUUCAUUUAUUUAUUUUAGACUAUAUUCUGUGUGACUUUCAAUAAAUCAAUAGGUAUAAAAUAUUUGUCCCCAAUCUUUAUAAGCACCUAAGACCCAGUGUAUACACUAUCCAUCAGGGGAAUAUGUUUUCUUAAACCAAACUUUUUGAUAUCUGAGCUGAGAUGAAAGAUUCUCUAAGACCCUGCAUACAAUUCAAAAAGCUUUCCCCCUGUCAUAGUGAAUAACUUAACAAAACAGAUGAUCUAAUAUUACCCUCAAAUUGCCUAAUGUUAUAUUCUCUGUGGAUCUAGACCACAAAAUGAAUUUAAGAUCAUUCAUUGACAACAAUGAAAUAGUUUUACAUAUUGUAAGAUUAUCGGCCCAGUUCUUCCAUGCUUCGUCAUUAACAACAGCUCCUAAUUACUGAAGUAUGGAGCAUGGCAUGCCAAUGACAGCAGAUCUGUGUGUGGAUCUUUAAGACAUCUUGAACGCUUCAUUGCAGAAUAAGUAGUGAAGUGGAAUCGCUCCCAAACAUUUUGUUCAAAUAGGAGGACCUUUUCAUAGUUGCAUGAUGACAAAUUUCAUUCCAAGUAGAUUCCCAUUUGCAUUAUGCAUGUGUAUUGUUCUGUAAUGCAGAUAAUUCAGCUCAUAGUUUAUGUCAAAAAUAAAAUCUUCCUGGUCAGUCGCGUGCUCUCAAAAGGCAAAAAAAAAAAAAAAAAAGAAGGAGAAAUACCUUUUAAUAGACAGUGUUUCAUAUGCUUAAAGUCACGAGAUUUAUGCAGCAAAAGUCGGCAAUGUUUUAGUUUGAUGUGCAAUUAUGAUAGACUUGAAAAUUAACCACGUUUCUUCAUUAUUAAUAUAAAUCAUAAAAUACAUAGAUUUAUUUCCAUUAAUCAUAAAGGCUGUGUAUUGAAGUUAAAUUAAGCUACCCAUAGUGACAUAAGAGUGUAUAGACUGCAAAGUCAUGAACUUCCUUGAUUAAGUUACUUUAUUUCAAUUAAUUAUAUGCAAGUAAACGAUCAUUUGAAGAGCAUUAGAGCAGCUAUAAGCUGUGCACCAGCUAGCACCUCUUCUACGCUGAUUCAUGCUAUGCACAUAUGAGGCAGUCCCAGGAGGACGAAACGGUGACUGAUUUGCACCAAUCCUUCAAAACUUUCGGAAGUUGCACAUCCAUCAGUAAGUAUACUUUCAGAAAUUCUCCCCUUCUCUCAAAAAACUAAACAAAAAUAAUGAUAUGGAAAUCAUGUAUAUAGAGAGAAGUUUGAUACAUAUCUAAACAAGCUAAAUGCAUUCUGUUUUGAGGAUUUGGAAAAAUGGACUUAUCCUACAGCAAAUGUUCCUGAACUUUAUAUCUAAUUUACUACUCACUGAUAAUACGUUUAACUUAAUGCUACCCAAUAUCAGUUAAUGAAAAUUACAUGUUUGAAGUAUGCAUCAGCCUACAGUAAAAAGAUAUUAGAUUUCUAAGAUGAAAACCACCUCAUCAGGUCAGAAAAACUGUCACAGACAGCUGGAUGGACAAACUGAAAAACAAACAGUAAAACCAAUAUAACUCAUACAGCGUCACAGUAGGGGGAUAAAAAGUGACCAAGGCAGAGACACACGAGGCAACUGUAAAGAAAAUCACUGGAGUCUGUAGAGGAAUGAGGAUUAAGUCUUUUGUACACUGGUGUAUUGGUUAGAUUUGUAUUUAGUAAUAUGAUCACCAUCCCAUAUUAACAGUCGAAAAUGAUGGUGAUAAAAUUCGAUGGCUAUCUUAUAAUGAGUAGUAGUAAACUAUCAACAACAAAGGGUACAAUACCCCUCCUUGGCCCACGUCUUUAUUUUUCAUGAAUGAAAAAAAAUACUUGUGUAUCGGGUUUAAAGUUGUCAACCCGGUGGUGACUUUCAUACUGUCUUGGCAUAUGCUGAAGCUAAGACCUACUUCAAAGUUCCCUGAAUGGGCUUGCCAAUCUUAGUGCAAUUAGAGUGGGGAUUUAAGAGAAUUUUGAACUUUCAACUAAUAAUUGAAAGCUUAUACUGUAUUAUCAGUCUAAUUGCCUUGGUAUUCAUAAAAGAAAUAAUUAUACUUAGAAUCAUAACAGCCUCUUACAAAAUUAAGCAUGUAAUUGAAAUCAUUUUAAAACGUGGUACAUUUUUGCUUUUUCCAAUUUAUAAUGUAUAUUUAGUCCAGGUACUUCAAAGAAAAAAAAAAAGUUUAUAAAACCAAGCUGUAAUUGGGAGAAGCAACACUUUGAAAUUGGUAUUCAGGCACUCAAUUAAUAUAUAAUAUUACGAUGUUAAAGUACAAAUAUGCAGUAAUGAUUGCACUCCUUAAUAUUCUUACAUUCAAGAGUUUUUUUCAGAAUACAAAUCGGCAUUCAAAUAGUCAUUAUCACUGUUAUAGUCAAGUUUAUUUUGUAUCACAUUCUGAUAAGGGAUUUUGUAGGUUUAAUUAAUGCCUGAAGGCCGGGGCAUGGACAAUAUAUGAGCUGAACAUUUUCAAAUUUUAUUUUUCCAUUUUCAAUGUUAACACUGCUUAACACAGGUAUUUCUAAUGGUUAGCGAAAAUUUGAAUGUCAGUUGUCGAGUUUCAAAAGAGAUACAGAGCUCACCAUUCUUUGUUAUGUAAACAAGGCUUGUGCCACACUUUUCUUUACAUAGUUAAUUCUGAACACCAUUAAAUAUUUCCUAGUGUUUGUCUGCACAUGUCAUUUUGUUUUAAACAUGGAUAUAUUCUAUUAUGCAAUCUAUGAUCACAGCAGCCUAUAGUGGUCAGAUCAUUCACUAAAUCACAAACACGAGGUCCUGGAUUCAGUCCCCAGCGGCCUCUUCGAACACAAGAUGCUGAACAGGUGUAGCAAGACCAUUCCUUUGCCAAACAUCCACAGGUAGAAGUGGCAGUGAAACCUCCACUAUACUGAGACCUUUUAGACUACUAUGACCUUUAAGAUGGGACUAAUGACUAUAUUCUGUCACAUGGAGGAAUAACACAUUAUUUCACGAAGAGCUCUUGCAAAUUUAUCACAUCAUAAUAAACUGCUUUGCCCUUUUCCACCUCGGUGUCCAAGCAUACAUCAAGGUAGGUGGGGCCCCCUCGAUAGCAGAGCCUUGGAAUUUUAAAAUAUGCAGACCUUGUACAAUAAAUUGUAUACACAUCUACCUCUGGAAUUUUAAAAUAUUCAAGACCUGCAUAGUAUAUGUGCAGAUCCACUGGAACACUCCUAAUAUAUAUCACUCGUGUCAAAUGUCAAGAUCCGACUUACACUGAAAAAUUCAAAAUAUAUCAAAUACGACAGUGUGUAUGUCAUUUCAGAAAACAGUUCUUUGUGUCCAUAAACAAACAGCACAUGGGGACUUUCAUUAUGUGUACAAAAUGAACAGAGAAGUUCUCAUAGGUAUCAUGUUUUAAGGCAUCAUUGAAAAAAAACUGAUAGGUCUACAGGAUCUCCUCCAACCAAAUUGAAAUGUAAAACAGCUAGGGUGUAAGAGUUUCUAGAGUUUUGUGUGUAUCAUUUAGACACCAAUGCAAGUAGAAACUGGUGUCAAACUCUUCACAGAAUGAUGGAAAGGUGUAGCAUACCACAACUACUUACAAUAAAGUGCAGAUAUACAACACCACAACAAAAAAUUCCACUGUCUCACUUUCUGAUAUGAAGAUAGGUAAAAGCUGGACAAAUGCCACAUACCUCAAAUUCUGUAUCCUGACCCAGCAGCUCCUCUGGAACAAGACCAAAUCCAUACAUAUAUACACUAUAGUCCAUCUGCUCCAUGGCCAUGCUCUUUUUGGCUCGGCCAGUCCUGGUGUCAGAGCUUUCAUCAUUACGCUUCGACUUCUUCUUAGUCGAAGACUUUCUCUUUGAAUUUGGAGACUGCAGCGUUGCGAUGCGAAAGGCUGCUUUGAGUUUGAUCUUUUUGGAGCUAAAUCUUGGUCCUACUGAGUUUGGCCGCUGGGCAGGGACAGGGUCUGGACAUGAAGACUUGGAUCGUAAUUUUUUAUCAAGGGAAAUGGAGUCCAGUCUUUCCUCUGACCUAGACUUGGACAAGCACCUGACUAUUUCGUGGUCCUCUCCAUCGCCUGGCUCUGAGGACUGUCUCUGUCUUACCGGAGGCUGCGGAGCCAUUCUCUUCUUUCCAAAGUUCAGCCUACGGGGUGAGUCAGAACAAGGGGACACAUCAUUCAGACUCUGUGUGUCCAAGGCAAAUAUCUUGUGUAUACUAUCCAAGAAAUCAGUCGAGGAUGAUAUAGACGUCGAAUCACUGUCAAAACUCAGGUGAAAAUCAGAUUUGUUAGGGGGGUCGCUGCGGAGCGAGAGGGUGGGGCUCUCCAAGUCUGUAGACUGAAGGGCCCCCGUGGAUAUAAACUUUUUCAUUCCACCAGCCCGCAGCAUGGUGUUCAUAAGAGGGGCUUCACAAGUCCCUUCUGAUGCCAUCAUCCAAACACGUGUACAUCACAAUAUCAGCCUUGCUGUCAUAUCACAAAUGGUGCUAUCUGAAAUCCACUUGAAAUUCCAUGGGUAAUAUGACACACAGUUGUCAAAAGUGUCCCCCCUAAACAAAAAUCAGUGCACUAAUCCUCACAAUACAAACACACCGUGACAAAAUUUUAAAACAUAUAUCCAACUCGAUAAACAUGGAAAACAAGGGAUCUAGGAGGCCCUUAUUAUCUCUCCAAGUUUAGAUUAUAAACAAACAAAACAAGAACACACAGUUAACUUCUCUCUGCUGAGUAUAUAACACAGGUAGGUACCCUGAGCUGAUACCAAAGACAGUUCACUUUGUCAGGCCAGGCUAAUUAUUUCCUUACCAAGACUUAUUUGUCCACAAAAACAAUUCUAUUGUUCCAUUUCACUACUGCCUCGGGCUCUUUAUGUUUUUUCUUUUCUCUCUAACCAUCAGGUGGUCAAGCAGCCUGCUUUUAAAAAAAAAAAACCAACCUUGUAUUCACUGUGUGUAGAUUUAAAGUACUGUUUUCUUUGAUAUCAAACCCAGGAUAAGUCUCUUUCAGAACAAUAGCAGGACUCUGAUCGUCUUCUAUUCCCCCAGCAAACAAUGGACAACAAAUCUGUUAUCUAUGUUUUAUCACUUACUUAGGGUUAAAGAAAAUGAUUGUCUUUUCACUGUUACUUUGGACUGAGUUUCUACAGUCGGCCUUUGGAGGACUUCGGAUGACCCGAGAUAAAAUCCAGUCAGAUGUGUUCCCUCAGCAAACACAUUAAAUCUUCUCCUACAAUUCCUCACAGACUCGUUUAAGAAUGGUUGGUUUUAUGAAGAUGAGGCAAGGAGUCCUUUAAACAUCUCUUGUGUUGUGGAUAUAUU